rnacentral:rRNA from 1 species
UGUAGAAUCCCAUGAACCAUCGAGUCUUUGAACGCAAGUUGCGCCCUAAGCCUUUAGGUCGAGGGCACGUCUGCCUGGGUGUC